AAACUUAUCAGGCAAUCAUUUACUCGAAAAACACCGCUCAUUCAAUCAUAAUUUGUCGCAAUAAAGUAAGACAAAAUAAAGAUCCACCCCUAGCGAACGGAUACACAUUUUGUCGAUCUUUUGAAAAUGAAUAUUACAUCUGCCGUUUCCAUUAAGUUAAAACAAGCCUAAAAGUUUUUUUUCCGACAUCGACUAAACUUGGUUCAAUGGAAACCUGCCCGGGCUUCUUCUGUAUUUAUAUCACUCAGCUUGGUUUCGCUUCCCCGCAAUUCUCCGCCCUUUCAGAAAGUACACAAUAAACUCUCAAGAGCGGCCUGAAGCAACUAUAGCGGAACAUUUCAGUGUCGCUGGACAGCACAGAACAUCUCUUGGGCAACAUGCAAUCUACGGUGUUUACUAUCUCGUUUGUCAAACUAUUAUGCUUAACUUUACAUGGAAUGACAGCAGUGUUAGCUGAACUUCCAAGUCCCAGUAACGUCAGAAUUACCUCCAUCAACAUGGGACUAGUGUUGGAGUGGGAUCCCCCUCAGAACCACACGGGAACCCUCACCUACAGAUCAGAAUACAAGUGGAAGAGCAUCAGGAACAGCUACCGGGUCGUAUGUUUGGACACAACUGCCCUAUGCUGUGACUUCACCAGACAUCUAAACAAAUUUGGAGUGUACACUUUCCAAGUGAGGGCAGAACGAGAGGGAGAGACAUCUCACUGGGUGGAGACUAAGGAGUUUGUCAUGGAUGAACACACCACUUUAGGCCCUCCCAGUGUGACUCUAGUCUCCAGUGGUGCGAACAUUGAAGUGAGCAUCGAAGACCCAGUGCUCAGGAUCUCUGAGUUUAAAGAGAUCUACAAUCAUGCAACCUUUAACCUCACCUACUGGAAGGAGGGCCAGGAGAAGAAGGUCAAACGGAUGAAUGGCAUCCAACUGCAUGAAGUGGUGUUGGAGCUGGAGCAAUGGACCAGGUACUGUUUUCAGGUCUGGGUGGUAACCGAAAGGUUCUUCAAACAAAGCCAGCCCAGCAACGUUACGUGUGAGAGCACCGCUAAGGGCAAGGACAGGCCCUGGGUGAUGGCCCUGGGGAUGUUUGUGGUGAUGGCUGUGUCAGUGCCCCUGGUGGUUCUAGCAUUCUGGCACUGCUACAGGGUGGUCAACUUCCUCAGACCCAAGGUCAAGCUGCCUGGACAUUUCACAGUGUACCUGUUGGAUCCUCAGUGCUCCUCCAUCCUGGCCUUGCAGAGCAGCCCCCAGCCUGAUGAGGUGUACCAUGAGGUCAGCAUCAUGCCUGCGGGGACAGAGACAGAGAGAGAGAGCGCCCUCUGGUGGACAGAACAUAAAGCACAUAACCAGACUGACUGACAAUACAAAGAAAGGCAGUGUUCGAGGGCAUCAACACCGCGACUGACAUGCCGAUCUAUAAAUAAUAUUAAGUUGUUGUUUAUGAUGCAAGGUGAUUGGUUGAUCAGUCAGUCUCGACUCGCCUUUAAUGUCGGCUGCACCCAAUCACAAAGAUCUUGAAGUGGAUGGGGAAGAUAUGGGUGAAAGACUGAUGUGAGGAAGAAACGAAGACAUCAAUGGAUGGCAGAGAAGAGGACGUAUCUCUUAGUGAGAAAUAAUAGUCUAACUGCCAUCGGGGAUUUAGUUAUUUAAUUAUCCCUGUGAUGAAAUUCUAAGAGAGAUAAUUUAGUGUAAUGCAGGUGUCAUCUACGAGAUUCAGCUGCAGGCCCGAUUUUUAUCUCUUGGGGGUUCGGAAAAAAUAAUUUGUGAUCGUGUGCAAAUUAGCCGCAAGAACCCAAACAAAUAUAUUUGACUGAAACAAUCAUUUCAGACCUUUUUUCCAUUUGUAUACGAUCACAUGUUUCUAUGAUGCCUAAAAUCACUACGAGCUGACUUCCUGCUGUGAAAAAUAAAAUAAAACAUUUGACUGAGAACUUGGGGGCGAAUAUAACCACUGCCAGUUAGGGAACCCUGGUGUAAUGUGUAUGAUAAUGAUCAAUAAUGCCUUUUAUUCAUUAUUGGCCUUGGUACACUGGCAUUUUAUGAUAUGAUGAGUGUAGGGCAAUGGAAUGGUGACCCACUAUUCCACCAGAGAGAGUUCUCAUUAUGAGCUGACUGAUACGACACACUCCAAAUCAUUUUAUGGAAAAUGGCGUUUUUGUAUUUAGCUUGUGACACAGCAGUCAAGACAUCAUGACAUCAUCAUGACAUCAUCAGCAAUGGGUCUACAAUGGAUUCUGAAAGUAUUCAGCCCCCUUGACUUUUUCCUCAUUUUGUUGCAUUACAGCCUUAUUCUAAAAUGUAUUAAAAAUAUAUAUUUAAAAAAUCCUCA